rnacentral:rRNA from 1 species
CCUACGGGAGGCAGCAGUGAGGAAUAUUGGUCAAUGGGCGGAAGCCUGAACCAGCCAAGCAGCGUGCAGGAUGACGGCCCUACGGGUUGUAAACUGCUUUUAUACGGGAAUAACGCGUCUUACGUGUAGGGCUUUGCAUGUACCUUAUGAAUAAGGACCGGCUAAUUCCGUGCCAGCAGCCGCGGUAAUACGGAGGGUGCGAGCGUUAUCCGGAUUUAUUUGGGUUAAAGGGUGCGCAGGCCGUCUGUUAAGUCAGGGGGUAAAGCCCGGGGCGCAACCCCGGCCCCGCGGUGGAAAUGGGCAGUCUCGAGUUGGAGAGAGGUAUGCGGAAUGCGCGGUGUAGCGGUGAAAUGCAUAGAGAUCGCGCAGAACUCCGAUUGCGAAGGCAGCAUGCCGGCUCCACACUGACGCUGAGGCACGAAAGCGUGGGUAUCGAACAGGAUUAGAUACCCGGGUAGUC